AGAGAUCAGUAUCAUUAUUAAGAAAUGAAUGUCACACCACUCACCAAUAUAUUUCGUGAUCCACAAACAAAUGUAAUAACAUUCGCAAAUAUAAUUCAUACAUUUCAUGAUCCACAAACAAAUGUAACAACAUUCACAAAUAUAAUUCAUGAUGCACAAAUGAAUGUAACCCCAUUCACAAAUGCCAGCGCAGUUCUAUUAAUUUGCAAACCGGUCUACAUAUAUUCGCAAGCCCUAUACAUAUUUGUGACUUCCAUUGUAUUUGUGUGUGGAUUUUUGAGACUGUCCUGACGGCAUUUGAUACACAAAUGUGCUCAGCCAAUCACAUCAGCCGGCGUUCGAGCGUAAGGUUGAAGACAUUGCGCUUCUAUUACGCAGAGAAGGCUACUAGUGCUAAGCCACCAUAGAUCUGUAUAAAUAACUGGAAGUAGAGCCAUUACUGAAGUGCUCCCUGACGUAAACUCGGAAGCGUAUGAAGUUACUGACUUUCACAUCAUCUUUGUACAAAUAUGUCUGGAUCUGGACUAACGUGUGCCGUAAUCGGAUGUCACAAUAACAGCAGAAAGCCAAAGAUGUGGAAAAAGAGCGUAUGUGCGCUUCAUAGUCCACAGUUUAAAGAGAAUUGUCCUUGUUGUGUGCCCUACGGUGGAUUCCCUGAUUGACGCUCCCAACUCAGGACGCUCCCAUUUCAUCUCGCUCCCACUAGCCAGACUAUCGGUACCACCGCCAUAUGACGGAGCCAGUUAUCUUGUUGAUGUUAGUUUUUUGUUUCUAACCUUAACCUUAACCCUAAACCUAACCCUAACCCUAAACCUAACCCUAAACCUAACCCUAAAUUGCUUGUAUGUGGCAGUAUAUGAUAAUACGUGAAAUAUAAUCGGGUGGGACCGCACGUCCGGGAGUGAUAGAAACACCUGGGACCGCACGUCCGGGAGCGAUCUCAGUUGGGAGUCUCCAUCCCCUUACCCCUACGGUGUACACCGCUUCCCCGGCCGUGCUGAGGAUGAAGACAUUCGCAAGAUGUGGAUUAAAAACGUACACCGAAAGGACUUUGCCCCCAAACAAGUAUUCAAGGGUGUGUGCGGAGUACACUUCCCUGACGGCAGACCAACGCAGGAACACCCAUAUCCCAUAAUAUGGGAUAUGAAUAUAGUAAAGCACCAUCAUGUGGAAGACCACCCCCAAAGAGGAGAUGUCUCCAGCCCCCAACAGAGAGACUUGGAUUAAUGUUGAGAGGAUUAUUGUUCAAUACGGUGUAGAAACACUUGGUUCAGUUAUAUGUAUAUAUCUAUCUUCUUUCAAGAAAUCCUUCAUCCCCUCAGCUGUGACCAUACUGAACAAGAGAUGAACUGUCCAGCUGCAGCAUGCAUGUAUUGUGUGGUCUUGUCUUUUUUUUUUUUGGUCAAGCCUUGUCUAAUGUCUGUGAGAAUCACUGAAGCCACGCCAAAGACAAUUUUCUUUUUCAUGGGUGUAACAGACAAUUAAGUUUUAUCUAAUCUAAUCAUAUCAAUGAGAAUCAGUGCACCUGACAAAGGCAUGACAUACCGUAUACUGUAGGCUUAAAUGCUAAAGAAAAAUGAAUUAACCUGGCGGUUUUGAAUUGUUUAUUUACACAGUUAUUAAAAUGCAUACAGAUAGUGAAUUUAA